UACAGAGGUCUCAAGCGUUGUUCGGAUUCAUUGGGCGUAAAGGGUGCGUAGGCGGCGCGGUAAGUCGGGUGUGAAUCUCGGAGCUUAACUCCGAACUGCAUUCGAUACUGCCGUGCUUGAGGACUGGAGAGGAGACGUGGAAUUUACGGUGUAGCGGUGAAAUGCGUAGAUAUCGUAAGGAAGACCAGUGGCGAAGGCGGGUCUCUGGACAGUUCCUGACGCUGAGGACGAAGCG
rnacentral:rRNA from 1 species